rnacentral:lncRNA from 10 species
AAAAGGAUGAUUUUGGAGCUGUAGGAUUGAAUGACUGGCCUACUGCGUUUUGGACAUUCAUGUAUCCUAGCAGGACAAACAGGCCAGGUGGUGUCAGGAGCCCAGGUCUCCAGCUGGAGGGAACGUCAACCCUGCAGUGGGAGCAGGGGCCCAUCGCACAUCCUAGGCACAGAUGCUAAUGUAGGCACUGCAGACCAUAAAGGAGAACAGCAAGAGGCCCCCAGCAAACAUCCACAGAUGGCCCUGGACAUCAGCCACAUUCUGAGAAACAUGUCAUGUUCUGGGAGGGCUAAGGCAUCAACCUUACCCUGUAGGAAUUCUAGUGACUAUGUUGCCACCAUCUUGGAGCUCCAUGCCCUCAUAGUGUAAUGGCACCAGCAGAUCUGCCUGUGCAUGGACUUCCUGUACUACCUCACUCCUGAGGGGAGAUGUUUCUGCAGGGCCUAUGACCUGGUGCACAACUUUAGACACCAUCAUCCUGGAGCAGCACUGCACCCUCACUAGCCAGAGUGUUGACAUCCUCAAGGCCAGGGCCACAUUCAAGACUUUGGACUUCAUUGAUGCACUUGUGCUGAGCAAGAUCCUGGUCAGAGUAAAACAUUCCAUGGGAACUCGGGCUGUGAGAAACAUCCUAACCACCUGACUGCAGAAACAUCCUUAUCACAUCCUGCUGGGCAAGGGCCCAACAGCCUGACUUCAGGAACAUCCUUAUCAUCUUCUACUGAGCAGCAAGCUAUACUGUCCAGAGCCCUCCCUCCCAGCCCCAUGAUUACCCCAGCCUGUAAGUGGCAGUGGGCGCUGACACUAAGCUGGUUUCCCCCUCCGCAGGGUUUUGCUAGUAAUAAACCUGUG